UGACAAACUUGACCUCAAAUCAGGUAGGACUACCCGCUGAACUUAA
rnacentral:rRNA from 1 species